rnacentral:rRNA from 1 species
GACGAACGCUGGCGGCGUGCCUAAUACAUGCAAGUAGAACGCUGAAGGAGGAGCUUGCUUCUCCGGAUGAGUUGCGAACGGGUGAGUAACGCGUAGGUAACCUGCCUGGUAGCGGGGGAUAACUAUUGGAAACGAUAGCUAAUACCGCAUAACAGUAGAUAUUGCAUGAUAUCUGCUUAAAAGGUGCAAUUGCAUCACUACCAGAUGGACCUGCGUUGUAUUAGCUAGUUGGUGGGGUAACGGCUCACCAAGGCGACGAUACAUAGCCGACCUGAGAGGGUGAUCGGCCACACUGGGACUGAGACACGGCCCAGACUCCUACGGGAGGCAGCAGUAGGGAAUCUUCGGCAAUGGACGGAAGUCUGACCGAGCAACGCCGCGUGAGUGAAGAAGGUUUUCGGAUCGUAAAGCUCUGUUGUAAGAGAAGAACGAGUGUGAGAGUGGAAAGUUCACACUGUGACG